rnacentral:rRNA from 1 species
AACGAACGCUGGCGGCAUGCCUAACACAUGCAAGUCGAACGAGACCUUCGGGUCUAGUGGCGCACGGGUGCGUAACGCGUGGGAAUCUGCCCUUGGGUUCGGAAUAACUUCGGGAAACUGAAGCUAAUACCGGAUGAUGACGUAAGUCCAAAGAUUUAUCGCCCAAGGAUGAGCCCGCGUAGGAUUAGCUAGUUGGUGAGGUAAAGGCUCACCAAGGCGACGAUCCUUAGCUGGUCUGAGAGGACGACCAGCCACACUGGAACUGAGACACGGUCCAGACUCCUACGGGAGGCAGCAGUGGGGAAUUUUGGACAAUGGACGCAAGUCUGAUCCAGCCAUUCCGCGUGCAGGAUGAAGGCCCUCGGGUUGUAAACUGCUUUUGUACGGAACGAAAAGGUUUCUAUUAAUACUAGGAGCUCAUGACGGUACCGUAAGAAUAAGCACCGGCUAACUACGUGCCAGCAGCCGCGGUAAAGUGACUACUG